rnacentral:rRNA from 1 species
ACUUUUAACAACAGAUCUCUUAGUUCUAGCAUUAAUAAAGAACGCAGCAAAAUGCGAUAAGUAGUGUAAAUUAUAGAAUUUAGUAAAUUAUUAAAUCUUUAAACGCACAUUGCGCCCCUUAGUAUUCUAUAGGGCAUGCCUGUUUAAGCGUUAUUUGUACCCUUAAGCUCUACUUAGUGUUAGGUGUUUAUUCUACUUAGGACUUGCCUUAAAACAAUUGGCAGCUAGCAUAUUAGCCUAGAGCGUAGCACAUUUUGCGCCUCUUGUUAUGGUUGUUAGUAUCUAUUAAGACACUUUUUAAGCUCUUAACCUUAGAUUAGGUAGGGAUACCCGCUAAACUUAAGCAUAUUAAUAAGCGGAGGAAAAGAAACUAAUAGGGAUUGCCCUAGUAACAGCGAGUAAAGUGGCAAUAGCUUAAAUUUAAAAUCUAGCUCUUUUAGGGUCUAAGUUAUAAUUUACAGAGGGCGCUUUAGCGUUAGCAGUAGUCUAAGUUCCUUAGAAUAGGACGUUAUAGAGGGUAAGAAUCCUAUACGUAGUUGCUAGCCUUUGCUAUAUAAAGCCCCUUUAACAAGUUAAGUUGUUUAGGAAUAUAGCUUUAAAUAGGAGGUAAAUUUCUUCUAAAGCUAAAUACUAGCUAGAGACUAAUAGCGUAUAAGUAGAGUAAUUAAAAGAUAAAAAGCACUUUAGAAAGAGAGUUAAAUAGCACGUGAAAUUGUUAAAAGGGAAGCGCUUGUAGCUAGACUUGCCUGUAGUUACUUAUCUAGGCUUUUAUCUAGUGCACUCUUCUAUAGGUAGGCUAGCAUUAGUUUAGGCAGUUAGAUAAAGGUCUCUAUUACGUACCUCCCUUUAGGGAGGCCUUAUAGGGGAGACCCUGACAUGUAACUAGCCUAGACUAAGGUCUACGUAUCUACUAGGAUGCUAGCGUAAUAGCUGUAAGCGGCCUAUCUUAAAAUAUAGACUAAGGAGUCUAAUAUCUAUAUAAGUGUUUAGGUGUUAAGCCUAGACGCGUAAUAAAAGUAAAUAGAGGUAGGACCCCUUUUAGGGUGCACUAUUAACUAAUCCUAAUAUCUUUAGAAGGAUUUAAGUAAGAGUAUAGCUAUUAGGACCUAAAAGAUAGUGAACUAUGCUUAAAUAGGGUAAAGCUAGAGGAAACUCUAGUAGAGGCUCGCAGUAGUUCUAACGUGCAAAUUAAUUAUUAAAUUUAGGUAUAGGGGCGAAAGACUAAUUAAACUAUCUAGUAGCUAGUUCCUACUAAAGUUUCCCUUAGGAUAGCAGUAACGUAUUUAGUUUUAUAAGGUAAAGCGAAUAAUUAGAGGCCUAGGGGUUAAAACAACCUUCACCUAUUCUUAAACUUUAAAUAUGUAAGAAGUCCUUAUUACUUAAUUAAACGUGGACACUUAAAUAUACUAUUACUAGUAGGCUAUUUUUAGUAAGCAGAACUAGCAAUAUAGGAUAAACUAAACGUAGGGUUAAGGUGCUAGAAUACACGCUUAUUAGAUACUACAAAAGGUGUUAGUUUAUCUAGAUAGUAGGAUAGUAGCUAUAGAAGUUAGAAUCUGCUAAGGAGUGUAUAAUAACUUACCUGCUAAAUAAACUAGCCCUAAAAAUAGAUAGCGCUUAAGCGUGUUACCUAUACCCUGCUGCUAGGGCAAGAUUUAAGCCCUAGCAAGUAGGCAGGCGUAGAGGCUUGUAACAAAGCCUUAGGGGUAACCCUAGGUAGAAUGGCCUCUAGUACAGAUCUUAGUAGUAGUAGCAAAUACUUAAAUAAGAACUUUAAGGACUAAAGUAGGGAAAGGUUCUGUGUAAAUAGCAGUUAGACACAGGUUAGUUAAUCCUAAGAGAUAGGGUAAUUCUAUUUUAAUAUUAGUGCUUACACCGCGCCCUUAAAAGGGAAGCUAGUUAAUAUUCUAGCACCUAGAUAUAGAUUCUCCGCGGCAACGCAACUAAGAGCGGAGACCUUAGCAGGAGCCCUAAGAAGAGUUCUCUUUUCUUCUUAACAGUCUAUUACCCUAAAAUUAGUUUAUCUAGAGCUAGGGUUUAAUAGCUAGAAAAGCGCUACACUUUUAUAGCAUUUAGUGCGCUCCUAAUAAGCCUUAAAAAUCUACUUAAAGAAAUAGUUUUUACGCUAGGUUGUACUUAUAACUGCAGCAGGUCUCUAAGGUAAAAAGCCUCUAGUUAAUAGAAUAAUGUAGAUAAGGGAAGUUAGUAAAAUAGAUCUAUAACUUUAGGAAAAGGAUUAGCUCUAAGGGUUAGGUACGUUAGGCCUUAGGGAGAAGCCUCUAGCGUAGAAGGGCACUAACUGCAAGGUAGGCGCCUCUUAGCGCUAGGGUGCAGACACCCUUAGCAGGUUUUAGCUAUCUAGCGUAUGUUUAAUAACUAACUUAGAACUAGUAUAGAUAAGGGGAAUCUAACUAUCUAAUUAAAAUAUAGUAUUGUAAUAGCUAGAAAGUAGUAUUAAUAUAAUAUAAUUUCUGCCUAGUGCUCUAAAUAUUAAAGCAAAGAGAUUUAACUAAGCACAGGUAAAUAGUAGGAGUAACUAUAACUCUCUUAAGGUAGCUAAAUACCUUAUUAUCUAAUUAGUAACGCAUAUAAAUAGAUUAACAAGAUUCCUACUAUCCCUAUCUACUAUCUAGCGAAACCACAGCUAAGGGAACAGGCUUGGCCAAAUUAGCGGGGAAAGAAGACCCUAUUAAGCUUAACUCUAGUUUAAUAUUAUAAAAAGAUAUAGGGGGUGUAGAAUAGGUAGGAGCUUUAGCGCUAGUAAAAUACUACUACCCUUAUUGUUUUUUUACUUAUUUAAUAAAGCGGAGCUAGGCCUUACUACCUAACUUCUAGCGUUUAAGGUCCUUUGUAGGCUAAUCUAGGUUAAAGAUAUUAUUAGGUAGGGAGUUUAGCUAGGGCGGCACAUCUAUUAAACUAUAACGUAGGUGUCCUAAGGGGGACUUAUAGAGAAUAGAAAUCUCUAGUAGAGUAAAAGGGCAAAAGUCCCCUUAAUUUUAAUUUUUAGUGUGAAUACAAACUAUAAAAGUGUAGCCUAUUAAUCCUUUAGUCCCUUAAAAUUUAAGGCUAGAGGUGCUAGAAAAGUUACUACAGGGAUAACUAGCUUGUGGCAGCUAAGCGUUUAUAGUAAUGUUGCUUUUUAAUCCUUUAAUAUUAGCUCUUCCUAUUAUACUAAAGCAGAAUUUAGUAAGCGUUAGAUUGUUUACCUACUAAUAGGGAACUGUUGCAGGAGGGAUAUCAACCGGAUCACGGAGCAUCUUGAUCCAAUCAAUCCCGAUCAAUACCCCUGUAUGACCCACUAUCUGAUCAACUGCCAGCUCACUACCAAGCGCCCAACAAAAAGCAGGAGCUCUGGUAAGGAAGGUUUACCAAUCAUUCACCUUCUAGUAAGGGUAGCUGAAGCUCUAUAUAUAUGAGUCCGAUCGUAGUAGAUACAAUCCAAUAAUCCAUCUCCCAAAUCAUUCCUAACCUUAGUAAUCCAAUUUUCCACAGUUAUGAGCCCAGUUCGCGCUUUACCUCAUUAAAGAUCGUCCUAUCUAUUUGAGCGUAUUGUUCAACUUGGACACUAAGCCAGCAAAGCUUCACUCUUUCUUUAUACCAUUUCUUGAGCAGAAGCUCACUUAUUACUCUUCCACCAUAAGCGACCAAAUCCCAAAGGGGGAUAUCCUACUCACUAGAUUAACCAACUAGCCCACCUAGUACAUUCAAUUCAGAUACCAUGCCCUAACCAAAGGGAUCUAGGCAGAGGUAGACCCUAAGGCUCCAAAUGCUGAAAACCACUUUAAGAAUAAACCUAUUAAGCCUAACAUGCCAACAAAUAUCGCGCUAUCUAACACAAUAAGCGAGCAGUACAAGCUCUAAAUAGCUUAGUACCAAGCCCGCUCAUCAGAUUAGGCAUCAAAGUUAUUAGCAAUCCAGAACCUCUUCACAUAGGUCAACAACACAGUAGAUCAAGGGAUCCUUACCCUAGCCUAUAUAGAGCUUGU